AUUGAACGCUGGCGGCAGGCCUAACACAUGCAAGUCGAGCGGAUGAAGGGAGCUUGCUCCUGGAUUCAGCGGCGGACGGGUGAGUAAUGCCUAGGAAUCUGCCUGGUAGUGGGGGAUAACGUCCGGAAACGGGCGCUAAUACCGCAUACGUCCUGAGGGAGAAAGUGGGGGAUCUUCGGACCUCACGCUAUCAGAUGAGCCUAGGUCGGAGUAGCUAGUUGGUGGGGUAAAGGCCUACCAAGGCGACGAUCCGUAACUGGUCUGAGAGGAUGAUCAGUCACACUGGAACUGAUACACGGUCCAGACUCCUACGGGAGGCCGCAGUGGGGAAUAUUGGACAAUGGGCGAAAGCCUGAUCCAGCCAUGCCGCGUGUGUGAAGAAGGUCUUCGGAUUGUAAAGCACUUUAAGUUGGGAGGAAGGGCAGUAAGUUAAUACCUUGCUGUUUUGACGUUACCAACAGAAUAAGCACCGGCUAACUUCGUG
rnacentral:rRNA from 1 species